CCUACGGGGCGCAGCAGUGGGGAAUCUUGCACAAUGGGCGAAAGCCUGAUGCAGCCAUGCCGCGUGAGUGAUGAAGGCCCUAGGGUUGUAAAACUCUUUCAGUGGGGAAGAUAAUGACGGUACCCACAGAAGAAGCUCCGGCUAACUCCGUGCCAGCAGCCGCGGUAAUACGGAGGGAGCUAGCGUUGUUCGGAAUUACUGGGCGUAAAGCGCACGUAGGCGGACUGAUCAGUUGGGGGUGAAAGCCCAGGGCUCAACCCUGGAACUGCCUUCAAUACUGUCAGUCUUGAGUCCGAGAGAGGUGAGUGGAAUUUCCAGUGUAGAGGUGAAAUUCGUAGAUAUUGGAAAGAACACCAGUGGCGAAGGCGGCUCACUGGCUCGGUACUGACGCUGAGGUGCGAAAGUGUGGGGAGCAAACAGGAUUAGAUACCCCAGUAGUC
rnacentral:rRNA from 1 species